GAUGAACGCUGGCGGCGUGCCUAAUACAUGCAAGUCGAGCGAACGGACGAGAAGCUUGCUUCUCUGAUGUUAGCGGCGGACGGGUGAGUAACACGUGUAUAACCUACCUAUAAGACUGGGAUCACUUCGGGAAACCGGAGCUAAUACCGGAUAAUAUUUUGAACCGCAUGGUUCAAAAGUGAAAGACGGUCUUGGUGUCACUUAUAGAGGGAUCCGCGCUGCAUUAGCUAGUUGGUAAGGUAACGGCUUACCAAGGCAACGAUGCAUAGCCGACCUGAGAGGGUGAUCGGCCACACUGGAACUGGGACACGGUCCAGACUCCUACGGGACGCAGCAGUAGGGAAUCUUACGCAAUGGGCGAAAGCCUGACGGAGCAACGCCGCGUGAGUGAUGAAGGUCUUCGGAUCGUAAAACUCUGUUAUUAGGGAAGAACAUAUGUGUAAGUAACUGUGCACAUCUUGACGGUACCUAAUCAGAAAGCCACGGCUAACUACGUG
rnacentral:rRNA from 1 species